rnacentral:rRNA from 1 species
GAUGAACGCUAGCGGCAGGCCUAACACAUGCAAGUCGAGGGGUAGAACACUUCGGUGUUUGAGACCGGCGCACGGGUGCGUAACGCGUAUGCAAUCUACCUUGUACAGGGGAAUAGCCCAGAGAAAUUUGGAUUAAUGCCCCAUAGUAUAUAACCUUCGCAUGUUGGUUAUAUUAAAGUUCCAACGGUACAAGAUGAGCAUGCGUCCCAUUAGUUAGUUGGUAAGGUAACGGCUUACCAAGACGAUGACGGGUAGGAGUCCUGAGAGGGGGAUCCCCCACACUGGUACUGAGACACGGACCAGACUCCUACGGGAGGCAGCAGUGAGGAAUAUUGGUCAAUGGGCGCAAGCCUGAACCAGCCAUGCCGCGUGCAGGAAGACGGUCCUAUGGAUUGUAAACUGCUUUUAUACAGGAAGAAACCCUCCCACGUGUGGGAGAUUGACGGUACUGUAGGAAUAAGGAUCGGCUAACUCCGUGCCAGCCGCCGCAGUAACAC